CCCUCAGGCAAAAUGUUAAUGAAAAUCAUCUUUAUUUCCAUCCAGGGAAGGCAAUGAUUAUGCUACAUAAAGGGAAAAGAUAUAAACUUACAGCCUGUAGAUGUGAAAGUGGAUACAUUCCAAUAGAAAGUUUCUAUAUUUCUCUUCCAACACCCUACUUCUUAUCUAUUUGGAAGUCUGGAGAGUAAAGGAAGAAAGAGAAUUGAAGAGUUUGUGGUUAAGAACAAUCUUUACUCCCACCUUCUUGCUUGGGUGAUUCUUGGAUAAAGAGAAGAAAAAGAGGAUCCUUUUGGGAGUUUGGGGGUAACCUGAAAUAAAGCUGAAUCUGCUGUCCUGGACCUCAUUCUGUCCCAGACCACAGACACCUUUUCAUCCUGCCAGUGGUGAACUAUGCCAGCAUUCCCAAUACUACAGUGCACGUCUAUAGAAGCUGAGUCCUGGAUUAUCAAGUGAAGACCUGAUACUUGACACAUGGGAGAGAGCAAGAGAGACUGUGUUUUAAUUUAGCUGGUCUAAGGUGGCACAAUGUCACAACCACAACUAACAAAACCUUGGUGGGAUGGUAUUUUGACACAGCCAGUCUUCUUUUGUCCCUCGCUGCCUAUCAGUAGGCAAUAAAACACUUCAUGUAACAUUGUGUGUAUGAGUAUGCUGUC
rnacentral:lncRNA from 1 species